rnacentral:rRNA from 1 species
AUUGAACGCUGGCGGCAUGCCUUACACAUGCAAGUCGAACGGCAGCACGGGAGCAAUCCUGGUGGCGAGUGGCGAACGGGUGAGUAAUGUAUCGGAACGUGCCCAGUCGUGGGGGAUAACGUAGCGAAAGUUACGCUAAUACCGCAUAUGAACUUUGGAUGAAAGCGGGGGAUCGCAAGACCUCGCGCGAUUGGAGCGGCCGAUAUCAGAUUAGGUAGUUGGUGGGGUAAAGGCUCACCAAGCCGACGAUCUGUAGCUGGUCUGAGAGGACGACCAGCCACACUGGGACUGAGACACGGCCCAGACUCCUACGGGAGGCAGCAGCGGGGAAUUUUGGACAAUGGGCGCAAGCCUGAUCCAGCAAUGCCGCGUGCAGGACGAAGGCCUUCGGGUUGUAAACUGCUUUUGUACGGAACGAGACGGUCCUCUUUAAUACAGAGGGCUAAUGACGGUACCGUAAGAAUAAGCACCGGCUAACUACGUGCCAGCCGCCGCUGUAA